rnacentral:rRNA from 1 species
AGUGAACGCUGGCGGUACGCCUAACACAUGCAAGUCGAACGGCAGCACAGUAAGAGCUUGCUCUUACGGGUGGCGAGUGGCGGACGGGUGAGGAAUACAUCGGAAUCUACUUUUUCGUGGGGGAUAACGUAGGGAAACUUACGCUAAUACCGCAUACGACCUACGGGUGAAAGCAGGGGAUCUUCGGACCUUGCGCGAUUGAAUGAGCCGAUGUCGGAUUAGCUAGUUGGCGGGGUAAAGGCCCACCAAGGCGACGAUCCGUAGCUGGUCUGAGAGGAUGAUCAGCCACACUGGAACUGAGACGCGGUCCAGACUCCUACGGGAGGCAGCAGUGGGGAAUAUUGGACAAUGGGCGCAAGCCUGAUCCAGCCAUACCGCGUGGGUGAAGAAGGCCUUCGGGUUGUAAAGCCCUUUUGUUGGGAAAGAAAAGCAGCAGGUUAAUACCCCGCUGUUCUGACGGUACCCAAAGAAUAAGCACCGGCUAACUUCGUG